CCCUUAGAUGUUCUGGGCCGCACGCGCGCUACAAUGAUGCAGGCAACGAGUGCCGCUCCUUAGCCGAAAGGCUUGGGGAAUCUUGAAAACUGCAUCGUGCUAGGGAUAGAUGAUUGCAAUCGUGCAUCUUGAACGAGGAAUGCCUUGUAAGCGUGAGUCAUCAACUCGCGCUGAAUACGUCCCUGCCCUUUGUACACACCGCCCGUCGCUCCUACCGAUUGGAUGGUCCGGUGAACUGGUCGGACUGCUGUUUGAAAUUGCGGGUGCAGUUGAUUCACGGGAAGUCUAGUAAACCUUAUCAUCUAGAGGAAGGAGAAGUCGUANCA
rnacentral:rRNA from 1 species